CUGCUCAAUGAAAAUUAAAUAGCUGCAGUAUUUAUAACUGUACAAAGGUAGCAUAAUAAAUAGUUUUUUAAUUAAAAACUAGAAUGAAAGAUUUAAUGAAAAAAUAACUUUAUCAAAUUUUUAUAUUAAAUUUUUAUUUUAAGUAAAAAAAUUUAAAUUAAUUUAAAUAGACGGGAAGACCCUAUAGAAUUUUUAAAUUUAAAAUGAGAUUAUUUUUUUUUAAAAUUGGGGAAAUAAAAAUUUAAUAAAUUUUUAUUAUUUAAAAAACAAUAAUAUUUGAAGAAAUAAAAUUUUUUAAAUUAAUAAAUAAAAGUUACUUUAGGGAUAACAGCAUAAUUUUUUUAAAUAGUUCAUAUAAAUAAAAAAGUUUAUGACCUCGAUGUUGAAUUAAGAU
rnacentral:rRNA from 1 species